rnacentral:lncRNA from 1 species
GUGAGUUGAAUUUACUAUGUUGUGAUGUCCUCUGGGUAAAGAAUUCUUGAAAAUAAUGUUUUUAAUUACUGUGCUGUUAGAGAACUUUAUCUGUACAUAUUAUAUAUAUCAACAUUCAAAGAUGGAAACCUCUCAGCUUUUCUUAGGUAAAUAGUUUUAAUAAUAAAACCAUAAUGUACAGCUGUAAAUUAUGUUAUGAAGACUGAUGAUGUCACUAAUGUUUCAGUUUUCCUGAAAUUCCCUUACUAAAAGUUACAUGUUGAGUUAAUUGGUGUCAUAAUUUAAUUUAGCUGUAAUGUUAGUUAGCAAACAACUAGUUUUUCUUUUAAUAGAGUGGCGUAUUUUAAAAUUUCAAAGAGAACAAACUUACAAAUAAGUUUUCCUCUUGAGUUGCUUUAUAGACACAGCCUAACACUUCUUAGUAGAACAUUGUGUCUUUGAAUUAAUAGAGCAUCUUCAGGGCUGAACUUGUUGAUCUUGUCGCUUGCCUUUCUCCCUUCCAGGAUAUUGUCUAACACUGUAAUAUUAAUUUCUAUGGCUUUACCUUUGCUCUUCACAAAGAAGUACACAAAGGUAAAUCCUUCCAUGUUAGAGACUUACUUCUUGACCAGUAUAUCAACACGUGGCAUUAGAGGUCAUCAUGUUAGUCUGAGCCUCUUCCCUCAUGUGCACUGGCCUCCUUCACCGCCUUUAUUGGAGGUGAAAAGUGCUCAGUAUUUUAAAAUAAUGUCUGCUUCGUUACUUUUCCUCUGUAGAACUUCAGUUAAACAAAUGCAGGACUUUUUGAUGUAGUUUGUUACUCUCUUGUCUGUUUACAUUUUUUUCUUUCUGUGGUAAUAUCCUGGUAUUUGUAUGAUCAUAAUCAUAGUUGAUCAUAUUUUAUUUAUCUUCUUGGUGAGAUUCAACACAAUUUUGGUAUUAAUCUAACAUUAAAAAGAAUUCCAUUUUGAUUAUAUGUACUGCUUUUUCAUAUUCGUCACUUUGUCCUUGAGUGUUCUGUGUUCAUUGUUUUUCCUUUCUUCCCUUCUGCUCACACUCUGUCCCUCUGCAUUCCGUGCUUAGUUCUCCUCAUGGAAGCAUGGUCAUGCCGGCCUGCUUUCUUGUUAGCUGCUUUCCUUCCACAGUUCACUUCCUUGUGUUUUUCUCUUGUUAUAGUUUUCACAUAAUGGUUUACAGCUUGUGUUUAGUCAUUUCACACUCAACUAUUUUCUUUUUGUAUUGCCUGUUGUUUCUAAAUUUAUUUUUCUUUAAAUAUACUUUCAUUUGGCACAAUGUUAAUGUUAAAAAAUUUUCACUUUUCUAUCUUCUGUAAGUGCAAAGGGACAUUGACCCUUCAUGGUUAUUUCUUUUCUUUUCCUUAUAAAGCAGGAAGUUAGCUGUCAGACUCGCAAGAUGUGUUUGCGUUAUAGAAAAGUUCCAUUGUUUAGAUUUCCAUUUCAGGUUCCAGGUGACAAGACAAAGGGGUACAUUUUUUUUUUUUUAAAUACCCAUUUUCAUAGGGAAUCCAGUGCUUUUAGAGUUUUCAUUUUUUAAGUAAAUAAUUGAUCAUCUUUACUUAUAAGUUAUAGAUAUGAUGACAGAUUCUCCCAUCCCCAUCUGGCAAGUGAUUUAGUACUCGUUACGAUGCACUCAGGCUCCCCUCAGUUCUCACGGCUGCUUUCCCACAGUGAUUAGUGAGGUUCAUGGUGGGUUUUCAUCUUUAUAAGUUAGAAAAAUCCUUUUUGUCAUCUUUUCAUAAGAUCUUAGACUUUUUGAAUUUCUUUAAGGAUCCGUUGAAUUUAAUAUUUGAACAUUUCCUGGGAAUUUUUUUGGAAAUGAGGAAGUUCAUAGUCAGGCUGAGUAUAUUUUAUGAGAUAGUAGUAAUUUGUUCAGCUCCUCACAUGUCACUCAGUGAAAUAAAAUAAUCUCCCACAAAAUAACUUUUAUAACAUACAAUGUUUUGAUUGCUUAGGGACAGCCAAUAUAAAUAAGUGUAGUAUAAACUAGCUUUGAGUUUGUAGAACAAGUGGUGUCCUUUGCAUUCCAUAGCGGCUCUGUAAGAGGCCUCUUCUAUCCACGGAGAAACCAAAUUGUAGGUGAGUGGUAACAGAGUCAGUGCGUUCUCUGGUGAUGAUUUGCAGCUUCUGCAUUCAAUUCAUGUCACUAUUACACAUCACCCUCUCGCCUCUGUUCAAUUACUUACGCAUUCAUGUACACGCGGUGCCUAUUAUUUGAGUAUAGUAAUCUUUGGAUUACUUUGUCUUAGUAUAGAAACUGUGGAAAUAAUGGGGAGUGUAUUCUUUCAAGUUAAGGACUUGAAUUUGAAAUCAGAUACUCAGUUUUCUGAAAGAAACUUACAGGAACAACCUGUACAUUCCACUUGUAGCCAAGGCUGACUUUGAGCUGUGACUCUUCCCUCUACCUCUUGGGAGCUGAGAUUGUAGGCGUGUACACCUGGUUUAUCUUGUGCUCCGGCUCCAACUCAGUGCUGUGCAGAAAGCACACGAAUUCCACCAGCUAAGCCAUAGUUCCUAACUUCCUAACCUCAAGUUUAGUGUUGGAGUAGUGGGAUUUAUUUCUCUAAAGUAGCUUUGCUUUUAGUUAGAUCAUUGCCAGUUUCAUUACCAUUGCAGCCAUGCAAGAAAGCUACAGUAAAUUUUCUUAAAGCAAAUCUUAACAUUAUUUCAUCCCUUUCUCUGUAAAGACCUCAAACCAUGGUUUCACUGGAAUUCAAUUAAAAUGUAUCUGUCACAUCAUAAUUUUUCUUUCCUGACAAUUGUUGUUUUAUAUUUUGCGUGUUUGGAGUUUUUUCUUUUUUUUUUUCUCUUUCAUUUUUAUUGAGAUAGGCUCUCACUGUGUUUCAGACUGACUUGUUAGGUUUUCUAUUGUGUUUACUUUGUACUUUGCAUGUGUAUGCAUGCUACUUAUUUGUAUGGAGGUUCGAGGACAAGUUGUAGAAGUUGGUGUUCUCCACGUUGUGGGUCCUGGGGAUUGAUCUUAGAGUAUUUGGCUUCAUGGCAAAUCCCAUACCCUCUGACCCAUCUCCUGGUUCUACAUUUUUAAUGCUCUUUUAUGGCCCCAGGACAUUGCACAUGCUGUUCUCUCAACCUGGGAUUAUAUUCCCCUCCUGACAACUUUUUUUUGUUUUUUUUUGGUUAUUUUUUAGUUUUUUGAUUUCUAGAAAAAUUACUUAAACUACUGCCCCAUAUGUUUGGAACCUUUGCUAUAUGUUCCAAAAUUUUCUUUAUUUGAUAAUAUUUACCAUUGUUGUAAGUAAGUUUUUAUUUCCUGUCUUCCUUGCUAGACUCAGUCUCCAUGAGGAUAAAUACCGUGUCUUCUUUUUUUAAUCUGUUAACAUCCAGUUGACUACACUUGUAUCAUAAUGCUCUAUAAAUAUUAGUUGGCUUAAAGUUAAGUGACUGACAUGUUUGACAUAGAAAAAAGUUACCUAAAGUUGUAAAGGUAGACAUGUGAGGACCUAGGUGUGAUCUGUUAGCACCAACAAAAAGUUAUAACAUUUAAAGAAUUUUAAUUAAAAUAACUAAGCUUUUUACCAGUACUUAAAAAUUAAAGGUAUUGUUACACUAGUAUUUUAGUUGAAGCAGCAGAUUGAUUCCCAGGAAAGAAAAGGGGAAAUAAAUACCCUUUUAAUGAUAGUCACUAUCUUUAAUUUCCUUUUAUUCUUUGAUAUGUCCUUGACUUAUGAAGCUUUUUGUG